rnacentral:lncRNA from 1 species
UCCUACAAUCCCUGCGGCGGCUAGGCGGGCAGCUCUCCGGGUGACGAUGUCACAGACUUUGACAACAAGCCUUCGGGUUUUCAGAGGAGUGUCGGGUAUCUGCAACGGAAUCAUCAAAACCUUUCAGUACAUACAGGUUGGAGCAAACACGCAUGUUUUAGUUUGAGUUUGAGUUAGUGGAUAUCAGGAAAGCUGACCUUCAGAUGUUCUUGCAGUAUCCUUCUGACUUCGCUCAGAUCCGGUGAAUCGUCCUCGCGAAUUGCAGCCAGAAGUGGUGUGCUGGAACACAAACAGUAUGUAGAAAACAUAUGUUAGGAAUAGUUUUUUGUGAACAAGCUUUAGUUAGGCACUGAUGUUCAGAUCAAGGAAAUCAGCCAAGUAAAGUUUUCCCUUUUAAAGCUCAGUGACACAAAAAAUGUUCUAAUCAAGAUGCUCAGCUGAGCAGCAAUACUCAACUAAAAGAUAAGCACUGCCACUUGAAUUGGGAGCAGCAUGAAUCUUACCAAAAAGAAAAGAAAAAAGGAUGCAGUAACCAAAAGUUCAAAGGGGCAGUAAAACACUAGAGCUAUGUAAUGCACAGAUAAAACUCGGUGAAUAGGAAAAAUCAUAGCAGAAGAAAUACUCUGAGAGCAUUUUUUUAAGGACUCAGCAACAUUUUCUUUUAAGGAGUUUUGCUAUUUUCAUAAUCCAAAUGGAUAGUAUUUCAUCUGGGACUAGAAAAUAAAAGGCAAGGUUGAGAAAAUACAAAAUAGUAUAGCCUUGAACUUAUUACAGAGUACCAGGUAAGCAAGUUCCCAUCAAAUCAUUCUACCUCCCCAGUCCCCUUUUCCACAGCACAAUAAUAUGAGCUAAGCAAAGCAUAGCAAGCAUUAAAU